rnacentral:tRNA from 1 species
GCCUCUUUCGCCUAAUGGUAUGGCAGCUGUCUUGUAAACAGCAAAAAUCUCAGUUCGACUCUGAGGAGAGGCU